GUGCCAGCAGCCGCGGUAAUACGGAGGAUCCGAGCGUUAUCCGGAUUUAUUGGGUUUAAAGGGAGCGUAGGCGGACGCUUAAGUCAGUUGUGAAAGUUUGCGGCUCAACCGUAAAAUUGCAGUUGAUACUGGGUGUCUUGAGUACAGUAGAGGCAGGCGGAAUUCGUGGUGUAGCGGUGAAAUGCUUAGAUAUCACGAAGAACUCCGAUUGCGAAGGCAGCCUGCUGGACUGUAACUGACGCUGAUGCUCGAAAGUGUGGGUAUCAAACAGGAUUAGAAACCCUGGUAGUCC
rnacentral:rRNA from 1 species